rnacentral:rRNA from 1 species
AUUGAACGCUGGCGGCAGGCCUAACACAUGCAAGUCGAACGGAGUGGCGGACGGGUGGGUAAUGUCUGUGAAUCUGCCUGGUAGUGGGGGAUAACGUCCGGACACGGACGCUAAUACCGCAUACUAUCAGAUGAGCCUGGGUGGGAUUAGCGAGUUGGUGGGGUAAAGGCCGACCAAGGCGACGAUCCGUACUUGGUCUGAGAGGAUGAUCAGUCACACUGGAACUGAGACACGGUCCAGACUCCGACGGGAGGCAGCAGUGGGGAAUAUUGGACAAUGGGCGAAAGCCUGAUCCAGCCAUGCCGCGUGUGUGAAGAAGGUCUUCGGAUUGUAAAGCACUUUAAGUUGGGAGGCGUUACCAACAGAAUAAGCACCGGCUAACUUCGUGCCAGCAGCCGCGGUAAUAC